CCAAUAGCGUAUAUUAAAGUUGUUGCAGUUAAAAAGCUCGUAGUUGAACUUCGGGGUUCACCCAUUGGUCAGGCUUAAUUGUCUGCACUGGUGAGAUGAGUCUCUACCUUCUGAGGAACUUUCAUGCCAUUUAUUUGGUGUGAUUGGAAAUCAGGACUGUUACUUUGAAAAAAUUAGAGUGUUUAAAGCAGGCUAACGUCUGAAUACAUUAGCAUGGAAUAAUGAAAUAGGACGGACUGAUUCUAUUUCGUUGGUUUCUAGGAUCACCGUAAUGAUUAAUAGGGAUAGUUGGGGGCAUUAGUAUUCAAUUGGCAGAGGUGAAAUUCUUGGAUUUAUUGAAGACUAACUACUGCGAAAGCAUUUGCCAAGGAUGUUUUCAUUAAUCAAGAACGAAAGUUAGGGGAUCGAAGACGAUCAGAUACCGUCGUAGUCUUAACCAUAAACUAUGCCGACUAGGGAUCGGACGAAGUUAAUUUUAUAAUGACGCGUUCGGCACCUUACG
rnacentral:rRNA from 1 species